GGCUAGGUAACAUAAUGGAAAUGUAUUGGACUGCAAAUCCUGGAAUGACGGUUCGACCCCGUCCUUGGCCUC
rnacentral:tRNA from 6 species